ACGUUUCCGACUUGAGUUGCCUCAAGAGGGGCGUGCUGAGCCAGACCUCCAUCGCGCACUCCGGGGAGUGGAGGGAAGGAGCGAGGGCUCAGUUGGGCUGUUUUGGAGGCAGGAAGCACUUGCUCUCCCAAAGUCGCUCUGAGUUGUUAUCAGUGGAUGUCUCCUCCCCCAAUAUUACCUGAUGUAUCUUACAUAUUGCCAGGCUGAUAUUUUAAGACAUUAAAAGAUCAUUCCUUGAGGACAGGACAGUGCUUGUUUAAGGCUAUAUUUCUGCUGUCUGAGCAGCAACAGGUCUUCGAGAUCAACAUGAUGUUCAUAAUCCCAAGAUGUUGCCAUUUAUGUUCUCAGAAGCAAGCAGAGGCAUGAUGGUCAGUGACAGUAAUGUCACUGUGUUAAAUGUUGCUAUGCAGUUUGGAUUUUUCUAAUGUAGUGUAGGUAGAACAUAUGUGUUCUGUAUGAAUUAAACUCUUAAGUUACACCUUGUAUAAUCCAUGCAAUGUGUUAUGCAAUUACCAUUUUAAGUAUUGUAGCUUUCUUUGUAUGUGAGGAUAAAGGUGUUUGUCAUAAAAUGUUUUGAACAUUUCCCCAAAGUUCCAAAUUAUAAAACCACAACGUUAGAACUUAUUUAUGAACAAUGGUUGUAGUUUCAUGCUUUUAAAAUGCUUAAUUAUUCAAUUAACACCGUUUGUGUUAUAAUAUAUAUAAAACUGACAUGUAGAAGUGUUUGUCCAGAACAUUUCUUAAAUGUAUACUGUCUUUAGAGAGUUUAAUAUAGCAUGUCUUUUGCAACAUACUAACUUUUGUGUUGGUGCGAGCAAUAUUGUGUAGUCAUUUUGAAAGGAGUCAUUUCAAUGAGUGUCAGAUUGUUUUGAAUGUUAUUGAACAUUUUAAAUGCAGACUUGUUCGUGUUUUAGAAAGCAAAACUGUCAGAAGCUUUGAACUAGAAAUUAAAAAGCUGAAGUAUUUCAGAAGGGAAAUAAGCUACUUGCUGUAUUAGUUGAAGGAAAGUGUAAUAGCUUAGAAAAUUUAAAACCAUAUAGUUGUCAUUGCUGAAUAUCUGGCAGAUGAAAAGAAAUACUCAGUGGUUCUUUUGAGCAAUAUAACAGCUUGUUAUAUUAAAAAUUUUCCCCACAGAUAUAAACUCUAAUCUAUAACUCAUAAAUGUUACAAAUGGAUGAAGCUUACAAAUGUGGCUUGACUUGUCACUGUGCUUGUUUUAGUUAUGUGAAAGUUUGGCAAUAAACCUAUGUCCUAAAUAGUCAAA
rnacentral:lncRNA from 1 species